UUCAGGAUGAACGCUAGCUACAGGCUUAACACAUGCAAGUCGAGGGGCAUCAGGAAGAAAGCUUGCUUUCUUUGCUGGCGACCGGCGCACGGGUGAGUAACACGUAUCCAACCUGCCCUUUACUCGGGGAUAGCCUUUCGAAAGAAAGAUUAAUACCCGAUAGCAUAAUGAUUCCGCAUGGUUUCAUUAUUAAAGGAUUCCGGUAAAGGAUGGGGAUGCGUUCCAUUAGGUUGUUGGUGAGGUAACGGCCCACCAAGCCUUCGAUGGAUAGGGGUUCUGAGAGGAAGGUCCCCCACAUUGGAACUGAGACACGGUCCAAACUCCUACGGGAGGCAGCAGUGAGGAAUAUUGGUCAAUGGGCGCUAGCCUGAACCAGCCAAGUAGCGUGAAGGAUGAAGGCUCUAUGGGUCGUAAACUUCUUUUAUAUAAGAAUAAAGUGCAGUAUGUAUACUGUUUUGUAUGCAUUAUAUGAAUAAGGAUCGGCUAACUCCGUGCCAGCAGCCGCGGUAAUACGGAGGAUCCGAGCGUUAUCCGGAUUUAUUGGGUUUAAAGGGAGCGUAGGUGGACUGGUAAGUCAGUUGUGAAAGUUUGCGGCUCAACCGUAAAAUUGCAGUUGAUACUGUCAGUCUUGAGUACAGUAGAGGUGGGCGGAAUUCGUGGUGUAGCGGUGAAAUGCUUAGAUAUCACGAAGAACUCCGAUUGCGAAGGCAGCUCACUGGACUGCAACUGACACUGAUGCUCGAAAGUGUGGGUAUCAAACAGGAUUAGAUACCCUGGUAGUCCACACAGUAAACGAUGAAUACUCGCUGUUUGCGAUAUACAGUAAGCGGCCAAGCGAAAGCAUUAAGUAUUCCACCUGGGGAGUACGCCGGCAACGGUGAAACUCAAAGGAAUUGACGGGGGCCCGCACAAGCGGAGGAACAUGUGGUUUAAUUCGAUGGUACGCGAGGAACCUUACCCGGGCUUAAAUUGCAGUGGAAUGAUGUGGAAACAUGUCAGUGAGCAAUCACCGCUGUGAAGGUGCUGCAUGGUUGUCGUCAGCUCGUGCCGUGAGGUGUCGGCUUAAGUGCCAUAACGAGCGCAACCCUUAUCUUUAGUUACUAACAGGUUAUGCUGAGGACUCUGGAGAGACUGCCGUCGUAAGAUGUGAGGAAGGUGGGGAUGACGUCAAAUCAGCACGGCCCUUACGUCCGGGGCUACACACGUGUUACAAUGGGGGGUACAGAAGGCAGCUAGCGGGUGACCGUAUGCUAAUCCCAAAAGCCUCUCUCAGUUCGGAUCGAAGUCUGCAACCCGACUUCGUGAAGCUGGAUUCGCUAGUAAUCGCGCAUCAGCCACGGCGCGGUGAAUACGUUCCCGGGCCUUGUACACACCGCCCGUCAAGCCAUGGGAGCCGGGGGUACCUGAAGUACGUAACCGCAAGGAGCGUCCUAGGGUAAAAC
rnacentral:rRNA from 1 species